rnacentral:rRNA from 1 species
AUUGAGAACUCCUAUAGCCCUAUAGGACCUUUUAUGCUAAAACUAGUAACAAGAGAUAACCCCUCUCUAUAAUGUAAACUCAAGCCAGCUUGAACCCAUCACUGGCACCCAACAGACUUAAACUAAAGUAGCAACUCCUCUAGAAAAUACUACUCUACCUACUGUUAACCUAACACAAGAACAUUUAAAGAAAGAUUAAAAGGAAAAGAAGGAACUCGGCAAACAUUAAACCCGCCUGUUUACCAAAAACAUCACCUCUUGUAUCACAUAAGAGGCCCAGCCUGCCCAGUGAUUUUAUUCAACGGCCGCGGUAUCCUAACCGUGCAAAGGUAGCGUAAUCACUUGUCUCCUAAAUAGAGACUAGUAUGAAAGGCAUCACGAGGAUUAAACUGUCUCCUCUCCCUAAUCAGUGAACCUAAUCUCCCCGUGAAGAAGCGGGGGUAGUCUUAUAAGACGAGAAGACCCUAUGGAGCUUAAAACAAUAUUACACGUGCUACUCCUCUUCUACACCAAGGUCAUCACCUAUCAGCACGCUGAUGAUAUGUUUUCGGUUGGGGUGACCGCGGAAAACAAAUUAACCUCCACGAUGAAAGGGGGAUACCCCCCUAAACAACAAGCCACAACUUUACUCAUCAAUAAAUUGACAUUCAUUGACCCAAUACUUUGACCAACGAACCAAGUUACCCUAGGGAUAACAGCGCAAUCCACUUCGAGAGCCCCUAUCGACAAGUGGGCUUACGACCUCGAUGUUGGAUCAGGGUAUCCCAGUGGUGCAGCCGCUACUAAAGGUUCGUUUGUUCAACGAUUAAAACCCU